UACGAAGGUGGCAAGCGUUACUCGGAAUUACUAGGCGUAAAGGGCAGGUAGGUGGUUUGGUUAGUCUGUUGUGAAAGCUCCUUGCUUAACGGGGAGAGGUCAACAGAUACUGCCAGGCUUGAGUAUGGGAGAGGGUACUGGAAUUCCCGGUGUAGCGGUGAAAUGCGCAGAUAUCGGGAGGAACACCAAUUGCGAAGGCAGCUCGCUGGGACGUUACUGACGCUGAGACGCGAAAGCGUGGGGAGCGAACAGG
rnacentral:rRNA from 1 species